rnacentral:lncRNA from 1 species
CAGCCCUUGGAUGGUGUAAACUUCCCCAAAAAAACGUGUAUGGUGUAAUGGUGUAUGGCAUAUGGUGCAAUGGUGUAAGGUGUAUGGUGCUAUGGUGUAUGGUGUAAGGGGAAUGGUGUAAUGGUGUAUGAGGAAUGGUGUGAUUGUGUAACGUGCGAUCGGGAAUGGUGUGAAUGAACGGUGUACAACAUUUCAUUGGUUGAAAACGAAGUUUUUUUUUAUUUUAAUUUUUCGGAUUGUAAACAUAAACAAUAAUAAUAAUCUUAAUAUUUGAAAUUUAAUUGCGUUAUGGGUAAUUUCGGAUCGUGUAGAUAGAAUGGGGAAUGGUGUAUGGUGUAAUGUGUAACGUGUAUGGUGCAAAAGUGUACCGUGUAUGGUGUAAUGGUACAAGGUGUAUGG